rnacentral:rRNA from 1 species
CCGUAGCGAACAGCUCAGUAACACGUGGCCAAGCUACCCUAUGGACGUGGACACCCUCGGGAAACUGAGGCUAAUCCGCGAUACGGCUCCCACGCUUGAAUGCGGGGAGCCGGAAACGCUCCGGCGCCAUAGGAUGCGGCUGCGGCCGAUUAGGUAGACGGUGGGGUGACGGCCCACCGUGCCGAUAAUCGGUACGGGAUGUGAGAGCAAAUAGCCCGGAGAUGGAAUCUGAGACAAGAUUCCAGGCCCUACGGGGCGCAGCAGGCGCGAAACCUUUACACUGCACGCCAGUGCGAUAAGGGGACCCCGAGUGCGAGGGCAUACAGUCCUCGCUUUUGUACACCGUAAGGAGGUGUACGAAUAAGGGCUGGGCAAGACCGGUGCCAGCCGCCGCGGUAAUACCGGCAGCCCGAGUGAUGGCCGCUGUUAUUGGGCCUAAAGCGUCCGUAGCCGGCCGAACAAGUCUGUCGGGAAAUCCAUCCGCCUAACGGAUGGGCGUCCGGCAGAAACUGUUCGGCUUGGGGCCGGAAGAUCCGAGGGGUACGUCCGGGGUAGGAGUGAAAUCCUGUAAUCCUGGACGGACCGCCGGUGGCGAAAGCGCCUCGGAAGGACGGACCCGACGGUGAGGGACGAAAGCUGGGGUCUCGAA